GAUGAACGCUGGCGGCGUGCCUAAUACAUGCAAGUCGAGCGAACCACUUCGGUGGGAAGCGGCGAACGGGUGAGUAACACGUAGGUGAUCUGCUCAUCAGACGGGGACAACGAUUGGAAACGAUCGCUAAUACCGGAUAGGACGAAAGUUUAAAGAUGCUUCUGGCAUCACUGAUGGAUGAGCCUGCGGCGCAUUAGCUAGUUGGUGGGGUAAAGGCCUACCAAGGCGACGAUGCGUAGCCGACCUGAGAGGGUGAACGGCCACACUGGGACUGAGACACGGCCCAA
rnacentral:rRNA from 1 species